UACGGAGGGUGCAAGCGUUAAUCGGAAUUACUGGGCGUAAAGGGUGCGUAGGUGGUUUAUUAAGUUAUCUGUGAAAUCCCCAGGCUUAACCUGGGAACUGCAUUCGAGACUGCAUAGCUAGAGUAUGGGAGAGGGAAGUGGAAUUUCAGGUGUAGCGGUGAAAUGCGUAGAUAUCUGAAGGAACAUCAGUGGCGAAAGCGACUUCCUGGACCAAUACUGACGCUCAUGUGCGAAAGCGUGGGGAGCGAACAGG
rnacentral:rRNA from 1 species